GAUGAACGCUGGCGGCGUGCCUAAUACAUGCAAGUCGAGCGAACGGACGAGAAGCUUGCUUCUCUGAUGUUAGCGGCGGACGGGUGAGUAACACGUGGAUAACCUACCUAUAAGACUGGUAUAACUUCGGGAAACCGGAGCUAAUCCCGGAUGAUAUUUUGAACCGCAUGGUUCAAUAGUGAAAGACGGUCUUGCUGUCACUAAUAGAUGGAUCCGCGCUGCAUUAGCUAGUUGGUAAGGUAACGGCUUAUCAAGGCAACGAUGCGUAGCCGACGGGAGAGGGUGAUCGGCGACCUGGGAAGUGAGCCGGCGUCCAGGCUCCUACGGGAGGGAGCAGACGGGAAUGUGCCGCAACGGGCGAGAGCCUUACAGAGCAAGGCCGCGUGAGAUGUGACGGUCUUCGGUUCGUAAAGCUCUGUUACUAGUGAAGAACAUAUGUGUAAGGAGCUGUACACAGCUUGACGGUACCUAGUCAGGAAGCCACGGCUAACUACGUG
rnacentral:rRNA from 1 species